AUUGAACGCUGGCGGCAGGCCUAACACAUGCAAGUCGAGCGGAUGAAGGGAGCUUGCUCCUGGAUUCAGCGGCGGACGGGUGAGUAAUGCCUAUGAAUCUGCCUGGUAGUGGGGGAUAACGUCCGGAAACGGGCGCUAAUACCGCAUACGUCCUGAGGGAGAAAGUGGGGGAUCUUCGGACCCCACGCUAUCAGAUGAGCCUGGGUCGGAUUAGCUAGUUGGUGGGGUAAAGGCCUACCAAGGCGACGAUCCGUAACUGGUCUGAGAGGAUGAUCAGUCACACUGGAACUGAGACGCGGUCCAGACUCCUACGGGAGGCAGCAGUUGGGAAUAUUGGACGCUGGGCGGAAGCCUGAUCCAGCCAUGCCGCGUGUGUGAAGAAGGUCUUCGGAUUGUAAAGCACUUUAAGUUGGGAGGAAGGGCAGUAAGUUAAGACCUUGCUGUUUUGACGGUACCAACAGAAUAAGCACCGGCUAACUUCGUG
rnacentral:rRNA from 1 species